rnacentral:rRNA from 1 species
GUGGGGAAUAUUGCGCAAUGGGGGCAACCCUGACGCAGCAAUACCGCGUGAGUGAAGAAGGUUUUCGGAUCGUAAAACUCUUUUAUUGGGGAAGAAGAAGUGACGGUACCCAAUGAAGAAGUCCCGGCUAACUACGUGCCAGCAGCCGCGGUAAUACGUAGGGGACAAGCGUUGUCCGGAAUCACUGGGCGUAAAGGGCGCGUAGGCGGUUUUAUAAGUCAGAUGUGAAAGGUACCGGCUCAACCGGUGACGUGCAUUUGAAACUGUAAGACUUGAGUACUGGAGAGGCAAGUGGAAUUCCUAGUGUAGCGGUGAAAUGCGUAGAUAUUAGGAGGAACACCGGUGGCGAAGGCGGCUUACUGGACUGUAACUGACGCUGAGGCGCGAAAGUGUGGGGAGCAAACAGGAUUAGAAACCCUGGUAGUCC